rnacentral:siRNA from 1 species
AUAGAUGCUUGGAAACUUACUUGC